CCUACGGGGGGCAGCAGUGGGGAAUAUUGGACAAUGGGGGCAACCCUGAUCCAGCCAUGCCGCGUGUGUGAAGAAGGCCCUCGGGUUGUAAAGCACUUUCUGUGAGGAAGAACGCCUGGUGGUUAAUACCCAUCAGGAAAGACAUCACUCACAGAAGAAGCACCGGCUAACUCCGUGCCAGCAGCCGCGGUAAUACGGAGGGUGCGAGCGUUAAUCGGAAUUACUGGGCGUAAAGCGCGCGUAGGUGGCUUGAUAAGCCGGUCGUGAAAGCCCCGGGCUCAACCUGGGAACGGCAUCCGGAACUGUCAAGCUAGAGUGCAGGAGAGGAAGGUAGAAUUCCCGGUGUAGCGGUGAAAUGCGUAGAGAUCGGGAGGAAUACCAGUGGCGAAGGCGGCCUUCUGGACUGACACUGACACUGAGGUGCGAAAGCGUGGGUAGCAAACAGGAUUAGAUACCCCAGUAGUC
rnacentral:rRNA from 1 species